rnacentral:rRNA from 1 species
CUACGGGGGGCAGCAGUAAGGAAUCUUCCACAAUGGGCGAAAGCCUGAUGGAGCAAUACCGCGUGAACGAUGAAGGUCUAACGAUUGUAAAGUUCUUUUCUGAGGGAAGAAAUCUGACGGUACCUUAGGAAUAAGCACCGGCUAACUCCGUGCCAGCAGCCGCGGUAAUACGGAGGGUGCAAGCGUUACCCGGAAUCAUUGGGCGUAAAGCGUCCGCAGGUGGUUAUUUAAGUUGGAUAUUAAAUCUCGGGGCCCAACCUCGAGGCCGUGUCCGAAACUGGAUAACUAGAGACUUCCAGAGGCAAGCGGAAUUCUGUGUGUAGGGGUAAAAUCCGUAGAUACACAGAGGAACACCAAAAGCGAAGGCAGCUUGCUGGGGAAGUUCUGACACUCAUGGACGAAAGCGUGGGGAGCGAACGGGAUUAGAUACCCUAGUAGUC